rnacentral:lncRNA from 1 species
AGUAUAAUCACAUCUGGCUCAUGUACAUCCCCCCACAUCGUGCACAUAGUCGGUGCCAUUAAGUGCAUCCCCCCACAUCGUGCAUAAUCAGUGCCAUCAUGUACAUCCCCCACAUCGUGCACACGGACACUAUCCUUAUCCAUCUCCCACACCGCCAUCAUCACCAGCAUGUGCAUCCACCCACAUCGUGCACAAUCAGUGCCAUCGUGUAUAUCCCCCCACAUCGUGCACACGGUCAUUAUCAUUAUCCAUCUCCCACACUGUCAUCAUCACCGGCAUGUGCAUUUCCCUACAUCGUGCACACACACGGUUAUAGUCAUCAUACACAAUGUCAAUUAUCAUGCACAAUAUACAUAUAUAUAUAUAUAUAUAUAUAUAUAUAUAUAUAUAUAUAUAUCAUCAUAAUGAAAUAGUGCAUGAAUCUAUAACAACCACAUUUCACAACUUAAAACUAUUUAGCAAAAGCUUGUUCUCAAGGCACUUGUUUUAAGAAAAAGUUGUAUAAAAUCAUUUAAGUUCUUUGUACAAAACAAUCACAAUCUCAAAAUGAUUUUGAGAUACAGUUCACUCAUUGGUAGUAGUUGAACCUUUAGCCAACUCUACCCUCCCUAAUGAUCCAAUUGAGAUAAUGAGAUUUCGUUGGAACCUACCAUCAAAUUAACAUCACCAUAAUGUCAAUUCAUACUUAUAAACCUUAAAAGCUACCCCUUAGCUAGCUUUCAAUUGCCAUUUUAAAUGGCUAUCUAUUCCCACUAUCCUAGUCACAAUAGAAUCAAUACACAAUCUCAACAAUAAACCCACAAUUCAAUCACUAAACAUUAUCAACACUUAAAACCCAAUGAUAAUUUACUACUCACCUUGAUAGUUUAGUAACUUUGAAUUUCUUUCCAACAAUUCCCAAGCUAUUAUAGGGUUUUUUCUCUUUUUCUCUCUCUAAACACCUAGCUAGUGAGAGAAAGUAUGGAAACAAGAUUUUUCAAGGGUUUUAAAGAAAGAGAGUGGAAGAGCAUAAGGAUUUAUGAAAGGGUGCACCAAAAGCAUGAAAAUUAGAGCCAUAGUGAGAAAGUUAGGAAGUUUUCAUACCAUGCUUCCAUGGAGGAGAAACCAACGUGAGAUGGUAGGAGAAGAAGAAGAUGAGCUGCUGGAAAUUCAAGAAGCUACUAGAAGAAGAAGAUAUUUAUAGCCAAACUUAUCCAAUUCUCUUUGAAAUUAUGAAAAUACCCUUUAGCAAGUUAACUUGUUCUUCUC